UUCUCUGUGGACCUUCUUUUUCCUUUUUUUUUUUUUUCCCAUUAGAAAAAUCUUUUUCCUUUGUUUAAAAAAUAGGUGCAGUGGGGAAAUACUUGCCUGGGAAAUUCCUUCAGGGAAUGAGAUGCACAAAGAUCUUGAUGCUGCUGCAGUCCAAGACUCUUGUCAGGUGCUCUUGGUGAAGAGUUGUUUAGAAGAUGACUUCAACCACGGGUUCACACAGAUGAGUUCUGUGCUGUAAAAACUUCAGCAGGAACAUCUCCAAGACAAAUGCAAUCCUGAUGGCCAUGGCCUGAAGGGCAGAGCCACCCU
rnacentral:lncRNA from 1 species